AGCAAGGGAUCAAUGAUAAAGGAGGCAUCUUUUUCAGAAUUCGCUGGCCUUUUGAUUCUUGCAAGGGGCCUUCUUUGAAGCUAAUCCUUUGUCAUUUGUUGGGACAGGAAUUCUGUUGCAGGUGGAUAGAAAUACUAUUCGUCAAAAAUGGUAUGUUGAAAUGUCACAGAGUGAGAAGGCUGCACUUUCAUGUCGGAGGCAUGAAGCCAGGCUUUUGGAAAAAAAGGGAGAAAUCCUCACGCU